rnacentral:rRNA from 1 species
AUUGAACGCUGGCGGCAGGCCUAACACAUGCAAGUCGAGCGGAUCGGCAGACGCGUGAGUAAUGCCUAUGACUCGGCCUGUUAGUGGGGGAGAGCGUUCGGUAACGGGCGCUGAUACCGCAAACUAUCACAAUCGCCUAUGGCGGAUUAGCGAGUAGGUGGGGUAAAGGCUCACCAAGGCGACGAUCCGUAGCUGGUCUGAGAGGAUGAUCAGGCACACUGGAACUGAGACACGGUCCAGACGCCUACGGGAGGCAGCAGUGGGGAAUAUUGGACAAUGGGCGAAAGCCUGAUGCAGCCAUGCCGCGUGUGUGAAGAAGGUCUUCGGAUUGUAAAGCACUUGAAGUGGGGAGGCGUUACCCGCAGAAUAAGCACCGGCUAACUUCGUGCCAGCAGCCGCGGUAAUAC